rnacentral:lncRNA from 1 species
UGUGAUAAUAUAUUGCUAUAUAUUGUCCAGGUUUAUUAUGUGACAGAUUAUGUGAUUACUGCUCUGACAGGUAGUGUGUUAUAUGUAUUGAGAUAAUCCUGACAGGUCACCAUAGGAAAGGUGAUCAUUUUGUGCAUGCAUCAUGCCAAAAUUUUUAGAAUUUAUUGAUGGUUGAUAGGUAGUAGGGUUCUACGUGGUGGCUGGUGGCCUUAUGCCUACCCGCACCCUAGGACCGUCGCGGCGGCCCGCUGGGAACGGGGCGGGGGUCGUGACAAAGCUUGGUAUCAGAGCAAAGGUUAAAGAAGAAUCCUGUCAGAGCAAUAGGAUGAGUUAGGAUUAAGUAUAAGAUUAUACUAUGGAGCAUAGGAUUUUUAUGUAUAUUAAUUUAUGAGUCAUUUAUAAUUCAGUAAAAUAUAUUAUGACUCAGUGUGUAACGACCGCCCUUUCUUUUUGACUCUUUUAGAGACAUAUAAAGAAUACCUCCAAGGAGAGGACUUGCUCGUCCUGGAAGGAGGAUGGAGCCAGAUAUAGCAUUGGAUGCGGGUUCUGCACAUGUCGAGCCCCAAAGAGAAAAAUCUCCUCCUGCUGAUAGAC